CCGUAACUAUAACGGUCCUAAGGUAGCGAAAUUCCUUGUCGGGUAAGUUCCGACCUGCACGAAUGGCGUAAUGAUGGCCAGGCUGUCUCCACCCGAGACUCAGUGAAAUUGAACUCGCUGUGAAGAUGCAGUGUACCCGCGGCAAGACGGAAAGACCCCGUGAACCUUUACUAUAGCUUGACACUGAACAUUGAGCCUUGAUGUGUAGGAUAGGUGGGAGGCUUUGAAGCGUGGACGCCAGUCUGCGUGGAGCCAACCUUGAAAUACCACCCUUUAAUGUUUGAUGUUCUAACGUUGGCCCCUGACCGGGGUUGCGGACAGUGUCUGGUGGGUAGUUUGACUGGGGCGGUCUCCUCCCAAAGCGUAACGGAGGAGCACGAAGGUUAGCUAAUCCUGGUCGGACAUCAGGAGGUUAGUGCAAUGGCAUAAGCUAGCUUGACUGCGAGCGUGACGGCGCGAGCAGGUGCGAAAGCAGGUCAUAGUGAUCCGGUGGUUCUGAAUGGAAGGGCCAUCGCUCAACGGAUAAAAGGUACUCCGGGGAUAACAGGCUGAUACCGCCCAAGAGUUCAUAUCGACGGCGGUGUUUGGCACCUCGAUGUCGGCUCAUCACAUCCUGGGGCUGAAGUAGGUCCCAAGGGUAUGGCUGUUCGCCAUUUAAAGUGGUACGCGAGCUGGGUUUAGAACGUCGUGAGACAGUUCGGUCCCUAUCUGCCGUGGGCGCUGGAGAAUUGAGGGGGGCUGCUCCUAGUACGAGAGGACCGGAGUGGACGCAUCACUGGUGUUCGGGUUGUCAUGCCAAUGGCACUGCCCGGUAGCUAAAUGCGGAAGAGAUAAGUGCUGAAAGCAUCU
rnacentral:rRNA from 1 species